UGGCCAGCCAAGUUCGUCGGGAAAUCCACCUGCCCAACAGGUGGGCGUCCGGCGAAAACUGUCUGGCUUGGAACCGGAAGGCUCAGAGGGUACGUCCGGGGUAGGAGUGAAAUCCCGUAAUCCCGGACGGACCACCGAUGGCGAAAGCACUCUGAGAAGACGGAUUCGACAGUGAGGGACGAAAGCUAGGGUCUCGAACCGGAUUAGAUACCCGGGUAGUCCUAGCUGUAAACGAUGCUCGUUAGGUGUGGCACCCACUACGAGUGGGUGCUGUGCCGUAGGGAAGCCGCUAAACGAGCCGCCUGGGAA
rnacentral:rRNA from 1 species